AUUGAACGCUGGCGGCAGGCUUAACACAUGCAAGUCGAGCGGGGAAAGGUAGCUUGCUACCUAACCUAGCGGCGGACGGGUGAGUAAUGCUUAGGAAUCUGCCUAUUAGUGGGGGACAACAUCCCGAAAGGGAUGCUAAUACCGCAUACGUCCUACGGGAGAAAGCAGGGGACCUUCGGGCCUUGCGCUAAUAGAUGAGCCUAAGUCGGAUUAGCUAGUUGGUGGGGUAAAGGCCUACCAUGGCGACGAUCUGUAGCGGGUCUGAGAGGAUGAUCCGCCACACUGGGACUGAGACACGGCCCAGACUCCUACGGGAGGCAGCAGUGGGGAAUAUUGGACAAUGGGGGGAACCCUGAUCCAGCCAUGCCGCGUGUGUGAAGAAGGCCUUUUGGUUGUAAAGCACUUUAAGCGAGGAGGAGGCUACCGAGAUUAAUACUCUUGGAUAGUGGACGUUACUCGCAGAAUAAGCACCGGCUAACUCUGUG
rnacentral:rRNA from 1 species